GAUGAACGCUGGCGGUAUGCUUUACACAUGCAAGUCGUACGAGAGUUUUUAACUCUAGUGGCGGACGGGUGAGUAACACGUAAGAAUUUGCCUUUAGGAGGGGGAUAACAACUGGAAACGGUUGCUAAUACCCCAUAUGCUUUCGAGUGAAACGGAUUUCCGCCUAAAGAGAAGCUUGCGGCUGAUUAGCUUGUUGGUGAGGUAAUGGCUUACCAAGGCGACGAUCAGUAUCUGGUUUGAGAGGACGAUCAGACACACUGGAACUGAGACACGGUCCAGACUCCUACGGGAGGCAGCAGUGGGGAAUUUUCCGCAAUGGGCGAAAGCCUGACGGAGCAAUACCGCGUGAGGGAUGACGGCCUAUGGGUUGUAAACCUCUUUUUUCAGGGAGGAAUCAAUGACGUGUACCUGAAGAAUAAGCAUCGGCUAACUCCGUGCCAGCAGCCGCGGUAAGACGGAGGAUGCAAGUGUUAUCCGGAAUCACUGGGCGUAAAGCGUCUGUAGGUGGUUUAAUAAGUCAACUGUUAAAUCUUGGGGCCCAACCUCAAAAUCGCAGUCGAAACUAUUAGACUAGAGUAUAGUAGGGGUAAAGGGAAUUUCCAGUGGAGCGGUGAAAUGCGUAGAGAUUGGAAAGAACACCGAUGGCGAAGGCACUUUACUGGGCUAUUACUAACACUCAGAGACGAAAGCUAGGGUAGCAAAUGGGAUUAGAUACCCCAGUAGUCCUAGCCGUAAACAAUGGAUACUAGAUGUUGGACAGAUCGACCUGUGCAGUAUCAAAGCUAACGCGUUAAGUAUCC
rnacentral:rRNA from 1 species